CCUAUAAGGUGGUAGGCGUUAGAAAAUGGACGUCACAUUUUAUUUAUGCUUUUUCUAUCAUUGACCGGUCGUCCGGCGCCUGCGCCUGCACACACGAGAACAACGUUGUGGAUUACAGUUGGCAGAUCAGAAGUGAAACGUAAAAGUUCGAAGUAGCAAAUAGUUGGGGACCAAUGAGGAAAAGUAUAUGGCGGGAUAGACAAAUCCUGAUGGAAUGAAACCCUCCUGCCCGUCGCUGCGGACUAUCCAGUACCAGUCAGGAUCCUCUCUGUUCAGCACUGAGGACAAACGAGGUGUACAGCACCACAUAUCUCCCGGAGGGGUCCUUGCUGAAGGGACACGCCUCACCCUCGCUGCCGAGCUCCGAGUGACCGUCG